rnacentral:rRNA from 1 species
UACGGGGGAUGCAAGCGUUAUCCGGAAUCAUUGGGCGUAAAGCGCCUGUAGGUUGUUUAAUAAGUCUGUUGUUAAAGACUAGGGCUCAACCCUAGGAAAGCAAUGGAAACUACUAGACUAGAGUAUGGCAGGGGUAGAGGGAAUUUCUAGUGUAGCGGUGAAAUGCGUAGAUAUUAGGAAGAACACCAGUGGCGAAAGCGCUCUACUGGACCAUUACUGACACUCAGAGGCGAAAGCUAGGGUAGCAAAAGGGAUUAGAUACCCCUGUAGUCCUAGCCGUAAUCGAUGGAUACUAGAUGUUGUGCAUAAAGUACAGUAUCGUAGCUAACGCGUUAAGUAUCCCGCCUGGGGAGUACGCUCGCAAGGGUG